UACGUAGGGGGCAAGCGUUGUCCGGAAUCAUUGGGCGUAAAGAGCGUGUAGGCGGCUUGGUAAGUCCGCUGUGAAAGUCCAGGGCUCAACCCUGGAAUGCCGGUGGAAACUGUCAAGCUUGAGUCCGGAAGAGGCGAGUGGAAUUCCUGGUGUAGCGGUGAAAUGCGCAGAUAUCAGGAGGAACACCAAUGGCGAAGGCAGCUCGCUGGGACGGUACUGACGCUGAGACGCGAAAGCGUGGGGAGCAAACAUG
rnacentral:rRNA from 1 species